UGUGGAGUAUAUCUGCCACACGACCAUAGUUGAUUCUACUACCUCUCUUGGAACCCAUUCUGCUAGUCAUUAAUCUUUCUCGAAGUUGAUCCUUAAAACCAAUUAGGCGAAAAUAGACUCAAAAUGUAUUCUUUUAUGCUUUCCAAUUGAAAAAUUGACCCAUUGGUUGAUAGUUGUACCAUUCAAACACAGUGUCCUUUAAGGUUGCUAGCAACCAUCGUAACCAAAUAUCUUCAGUUCUUCCAUUAUUGGCUAUACAUGCUGUUAGAAACUAAGACAAAUAUU
rnacentral:lncRNA from 1 species